rnacentral:rRNA from 1 species
GACGAACGCUGGCGGCGUGCCUAAUACAUGCAAGUUGAGCGCUGAAGGUUGGUACUUGUAUCAACUGGAUGAGCAGCGAACGGGUGAGUAACGCGUGGGGAAUCUGCCUUUGAGCGGGGGACAACAUUUGGAAACGAAUGCUAAUACCGCAUAAAAACUUUAAACACAAGUUUUAAGUUUGAAAGAUGCAAUUGCAUCACUCAAAGAUGAUCCCGCGUUGUAUUAGCUAGUUGGUGAGGUAAAGGCUCACCAAGGCGAUGAUACAUAGCCGACCUGAGAGGGUGAUCGGCCACAUUGGGACUGAGACACGGCCCAAACUCCUACGGGAGGCAGCAGUAGGGAAUCUUCGGCAAUGGACGAAAGUCUGACCGAGCAACGCCGCGUGAGUGAAGAAGGUUUUCGGAUCGUAAAACUCUGUUGGUAGAGAAGAACGUUGGUGAGAGUGGAAAGCCCAUCAAGUGACGGUAACUACCCAGAAAGGGACGGCUAACUACGUG